rnacentral:lncRNA from 1 species
AAGAUCAGAUUUUAGAUCCAUAGACCUCCACCUUUGAGAAAAAAAGACAGAAACGCCAUCUUUUUCAUCCUCUCCAAAAAACCCUCACCUCUCGACCACCUAAUCUGAGCCGGAAAAAUCUUGGCCGUUCUCCAGGUCGCCGACAAGAAUGAACACCCCUCCAUUUUUGAAACCUAGCCAAAUAAUAGCAACUGAAAUUUAAAAAACGAAAAAUAAAAACUUCAAAAAUCUAAAAAAAAAAAAAACAAAAAAGAAUUCUGAAGAGGAGAGAGAAAAACAGAGAUCCGAAUCUGUGUAUGCGCGCUUCCGUGGAAGUGGAUCUCGCUGUGUUUUCAUUGCUAAACUUGCUGCAUCUGUUCCGUCCUGCUCGGUUCAUCUUCAUUUGUAUCUUUUCUUGGCGAGUUGUGGACUGUUUGUUG